rnacentral:rRNA from 1 species
UACGGAGGGUGCAAGCGUUAUCCGGAUUCACUGGGUUUAAAGGGUGCGUAGGUGGGCAAGUAAGUCAGUGGUGAAAUCUCCGGGCUUAACCCGGAAACUGCCAUUGAUACUAUUUGUCUUGAAUACUGUGGAGGUCAGCGGAAUAUGUCAUGUAGCGGUGAAAUGCUUAGAUAUGACAUAGAACACCAAUUGCGAAGGCAGCUGGCUACACAAAUAUUGACACUGAGGCACGAAAAGCGUGGGGAGUCAAACAGG